UACGGGGGGGGGCAAGCGUUGUUCGGAAUUACUGGGCGUAAAGGGCUCGUAGGCGGCCAACUAAGUCAGACGUGAAAUCCCUCGGCUUAACCGGGGAACUGCGUCUGAUACUGGAUGGCUUGAGUUUGGGAGAGGGAUGCGGAAUUCCCGGUGUAGCGGUGAAAUGCGCAGAUAUCGGGAGGAACACCCGUAGCGAAGGCGGCACUCUGGGCCGGUACUGACGCUGAGGAGCGAAAGCGAUGGGGAGCAAACAGGG
rnacentral:rRNA from 1 species